rnacentral:rRNA from 1 species
CGGACGGGUGAGUAACACGUGGAUAACCUACCUGUAAGACUGGGAUAACUUCGGGAAACCGGAGCUAAUACCGGAUAAUAUUUUGAACCGCAUGGUUCAAAAGUGAAAGACGGUCUUGCUGUCACUUAUAGAUGGAUCCGCGCUGCAUUAGCUAGUUGGUAAGGUAACGGCUUACCAAGGCAACGAUGCAUAGCCGACCUGAGGGGGUGAUCGGCCACACUGGAACUGAGACACGGUCCAG